rnacentral:lncRNA from 1 species
GGUGUUUGUGUAGGUUCAGAUACUACAGCUUGUGUGUAGGUUCAGAUAUAGCUUGUACUUUCAUAAGGUAUAAAAAACUAGAAAAUGCACCAAAGCAGACAAGAUCAUUUGCUAACGUGGUGUAUCAUAUAUAAUUAUCACUUGCGUUUGCUUUAAGUCAAUAAAUUAUCUUACCAUAUCAUCAAAUAAAACUCUAUCUUGGCACGUUGUCAAAUUUGCUGAUGCAUGUGUAAUAGAAAGUUCUGCCACUGUCUUGGUUAUCUUCUUCGACCCAUUACACUUAUCGUCGAAGUGACCGAGCUCACUAUAAAUUGCACUGAGGGAUAAACUUGCGGCGUUACUCUUUGUCGUCUUUCAUUUUUGCCAUUGCUGCCGCAGCCCACGUCACCCAGCUCCUUUUCAACAUCUUUAGCCUCUCACUCUACAUAUGUGAGCCGCAGGUGUGCAACCAGCAGCUACGACUUCCCUCCUUAUCAUGAAGCCACCCUCUCUGAGGAUUCCUCGACUUGCCCUCAAGCAUGUGAUACCGAUAGUCCCCAUCACUUACAUCUUCAUCGCAUCAUAUUGUUUUCGAUAGUGCUCAACUACUCAUAAGGGGUAAGAACUUAUCAAGAACAUAUUGCAAAGAGCUUCUCGAUGACAAUUGUGUCCUUCAUUUUUCGUGCAAAGAGAGCUUAUCACAUUUAUGACCAUAGCAACCUUUAAAGCAAAUUCAUUAAUCUUUACAGAUUCAAUGAUGUACAUAGCAUCAAGCUCCCUUUGAAGGGUUUAUACUCAUGCCUUUCUUAACAUGCUCUUCAUCAACAUGAAUCUCUUUGAGAGCAUCCCUUGCCAUGACCAUGGCCUCUAGAUAUGGUUUGGACAAUGGUGGCAACAUCUAUUUGGCCCAUCUUCUUAUCAAAUGUAUUGGCCUCCCCGCACCUCAUAGUUGCUCUCAGUAAUGUACUUGCCCCACCCCCUUCCCC